UAACUAUUAAUUUAAAAUAAAAUAUUAAUUUUGUAAAUUAAAAAUAUUAAAAAUAAUAUAGUUAA
rnacentral:tRNA from 1 species